UACGUAGGUGGCAAGCGUUGUCCGGAAUUAUUGGGCGUAAAGCGCGCGCAGGCGGUCCUUUAAGUCUGAUGUGAAAGCCCACGGCUCAACCGUGGAGGGUCAUUGGAAACUGGGGGACUUGAGUGCAGGAGAGAAGAGUGGAAUUCCACGUGUAGCGGUGAAAUGCGUAGAGAUGUGGAGGAACACCAGUGGCGAAGGCGACUCUUGGCCUGUAACUGACGCUGAGGCGCGAAGCGUGGGAGCAAACAGG
rnacentral:rRNA from 1 species